GGGCACUUUGUAGUUAAGAAAAUGGACUCAAGGGUCACCUGAGUGGCUAAGUUGGAUGAGCAGCAAACUCUUGAUUUCAACUCACAUCAUGAUCUCAGGGUUGUGAGAUCAAGCUUCUUAUCAGUCUCCAUGCUCAGAGGUGAGUCUACUUGAAAUUCUCUCUCUCCCUUUCCCUCUGCCCCUCCACUCACAUUCUUUCUCUCAAAAAAAGAAAAGAAAAUGGACUCACGAUCCUAGCUCUAAAUCCUAGCUCUACCACCAAACAGCUUUGUGAUCUUACAGAUAAUAAUUUGUCCUACUACAUAAGAAGUUUGUAGAUUAUAGGAGUUCAGAGAUGUAAAGCACUUAAGAAGAGUUCUUGGCAUGACAAAUGAUAUGUAAGCAAUUACCAUAGCAUUAAUUUAGUCUCCCUGGGACAGCAACUCUUAAGGCAAAGAAUUGUGUGUAGACAGUUUAUUGGGGAGUAUACCUAGCAGUCACACCUGCCAGUGUUUGUGGGAAGUAGAUUUGAGCAGAAUUUGAACUGAGAUGUAGUUGCAACAAAAGAAACAUUAGCCAACCACCACAGGAGCUCUGGAUCUGGAGCAGAUUUCUGGAGUCAUCAGUUUGCCAUGCAAUGCAGGCUGUCCCUGGGCUGGUAUCUCCGUUCUGUGUCCAGGACAAUUCCUUUCUCUCGAAACUGCAAGCCUCAGUUCCAUCACUUCUGACCUCUUCUCAGGAUUGCCUACGCAGAAAGGAGCUUCUUCCCUUCCAAUGGGGAGCUCUAACCACUGUCAUUCAUGUUCCUCCAAGAGGAUUGACUACUGAUGUAGAAAUUCCAGUAUCACAAGGCAAUAUGCUUUACCAUUGCUAUAAUAAGUUACAAUAAGCUGCAAAAAAAAUGUUAUUAAAGGCAAGUAUUACCAAACUUGAAGCACACAUAUAAAAGUGUAUCCAUUGAAAGACCCCAGGUCCAUUGGACCCUAUGUAACCUACUCUAGACCUCAAACCAGGCUUCUCAGAAUUGGUGAGGAGAUGACUGAAGGCAAAGAUUUGCAAAAUUGAAUUUAUAAUCCCCACUUCGUGUGACAAUCAGAGACCUGGACUCAGAAUUUUGCCUCAUUUGUGGUGGUCUUUCCUUUUUGACCGUCUAUACCUCUUUCAGUUUCUGCUCAGAGGGAUCUAAGUACUCAAACUUGAGUGAUAUGGCUUUUUCUCACCACCCUUGUAAUUUCACUUUUUGUUAGACUGCUAUUUUGUUAUUUCCUUCUGACAAGAAACCACAGCAGAAUUCUGUUCCUGCAUUUGUGGGCUAUUAUACUAAAGAAGUUCCCUUCAUGACCUCCAGAAGCAUUUAUACUCUCAUUCCACUAGAGAGCCUUAGUUAUAUUCAUAUCAAAGAGAAAGCCUAUUGCUGGAUAAAAGAAGACAUUUGAAAAUACACAUCCCUGACAUGGGACUAAUAUCCAGCGUACAUAAGGAACUGCUAUAAAUAAAUAUGAGAAAGAAAAGUUUUCCAGUAGGAAAAUGUGUUAAACAUAUGAAACAGACACGUCACAAAGAGACUAUCCAAACGGUCACUAAAUAUAUAUAUUUAUAUAUAUAUAAA
rnacentral:lncRNA from 1 species